AACGAACGCUGGCGGCAUGCCUAACACAUGCAAGUCGAACGAGACCUUCGGGUCUAGUGGCGCACGGGUGCGUAACGCGUGGGAAUCUGCCCUUGGGUUCGGAAUAACAGCGGGAAACUGCUGCUAAUACCGGAUAAUGACGUAAGUCCAAAGAUUUAUCGCCCAAGGAUGAGCCCGCGUAGGAUUAGCUAGUUGGUGAGGUAAAAGCUCACCAAGGCGACGAUCCUUAGCNGGUCUGAGAGGAUGAUCAGCCACACUGGGACUGAGACACGGCCCAGACUCCUACGGGAGGCAGCAGUGGGGAAUAUUGGACAAUGGGCGAAAGCCUGAUCCAGCAAUGCCGCGUGAGUGAUGAAGGCCUUAGGGUUGUAAAGCUCUUUUACCCGGGAUGAUAAUGACAGUACCGGGAGAAUAAGCUCCGGCUAACUCCGUGCCAGCCGCCGCAGUAAU
rnacentral:rRNA from 1 species